rnacentral:rRNA from 1 species
UACGGAGGAUGCAAGCGUUAUCCGGAAUGAUUGGGCGUAAAGCGUCCGCAGGUGGCUGUGUAAGUCUGCUGUCAAAGAGCAAAGCUCAACUUUGUAAAGGCAGUGGAAACUACACGGCUAGAGUGCGUUCGGGGCAGAGGGAAUUCCUGGUGUAGCGGUGAAAUGCGUAGAGAUCAGGAAGAACACCGGUGGCGAAAGCGCUCUGCUAGGCCGCAACUGACACUGAGGGACGAAAGCUAGGGGAGCGAAUGGG